rnacentral:rRNA from 1 species
CAGCCGCCGCGGUAAUACGGAGGGUGCAAGCGUUAAUCGGAAUUACUGGGCGUAAAGCGCACGCAGGCGGUCUGUCAAGUCAGAUGUGAAAUCCCCGGGCUUAACCUGGGAACUGCAUUUGAAACUGGCAGGCUAGAGUCUUGUAGAGGGGGGUAGAAUUCCAGGUGUAGCGGUGAAAUGCGUAGAGAUCUGGAGGAAUACCGGUGGCGAAGGCGGCCCCCUGGACAAAGACUGACGCUCAGGUGCGAAAGCGUGGGGAGCAAACAGGAUUAGAUACCCGUGUAGUCCCUGUCUCUUAUAA